GAACUUCGGGGACGAUACGGCGUCGAGCGGCGGACGGGUGAGUAAUGCCUAGGAAAUUGCCCUGGUGUGGGGGAUAACCAUUGGAAACGAUGGCUAAUACCGCAUAAUACCUACGGGUCAAAGAGGGGGACCUUCGGGCCUCUCGCGUCAGGAUAUGCCUAGGUGGGAUUAGCUAGUUGGUGAGGUAAUGGCUCACCAAGGCGACGAUCCCUAGCUGGUCUGAGAGGAUGAUCAGCCACACUGGAACUGAGACACGGUCCAGACUCCUACGGGAGGCAGCAGUGGGGAAUAUUGCACAAUGGGCGCAAGCCUGAUGCAGCCAUGCCGCGUGUGUGAAGAAGGCCUUCGGGUUGUAAAGCACUUUCAGUCGUGAGGAAGGUAGUGUAGUUAAUAGCUGCAUUAUUUGACGUUAGCGACAGAAGAAGCACCGGCUAACUCCGUGCCAGCAGCCGCGGUAAUACGGAGGGUGCGAGCGUUAAUCGGAAUUACUGGGCGUAAAGCGCAUGCAGGUGGUUUGUUAAGUCAGAUGUGAAAGCCCGGGGCUCAACCUCGGAAUAGCAUUUGAAACUGGCAGACUAGAGUACUGUAGAGGGGGGUAGAAUUUCAGGUGUAGCGGUGAAAUGCGUAGAGAUCUGAAGGAAUACCGGUGGCGAAGGCGGCCCCCUGGACAGAUACUGACACUCAGAUGCGAAAGCGUGGGGAGCAAACAGGAUUAGAUACCCUGGUAGUCCACGCCGUAAACGAUGUCUACUUGGAGGUUGUGGCCUUGAGCCGUGGCUUUCGGAGCUAACGCGUUAAGUAGACCGCCUGGGGAGUACGGUCGCAAGAUUAAAACUCAAAUGAAUUGACGGGGGCCCGCACAAGCGGUGGAGCAUGUGGUUUAAUUCGAUGCAACGCGAA
rnacentral:rRNA from 1 species